UGUUUGUAAACUUGCAAACUCUGGUUAGAACAUUCUAGUAUUUGUUGAGUUCAGAUGUCACGGCAAAUCCCAGUUUGUUCCAAACCAGCUUUGGAAAUGUAAAACUUCCUCCCCAAGGCUCAUGCAUAUUCUAUAGAACCCUGAUUAAACCAUGGUUCCAUGUGAUGUCUGAACCAGGCCAGUGCCUUUCUUUAGAAUGAUUGCCACAAGUGCAGCUGAUGUUUAUCACAUCUGAACUUAAUGACAGACUUGAUGCAGGUCAGGAUGUACAUCCCCAUUCAGUGCCAUUUCUUGUACACAAGAAAGCAUACAUACAUAUGGAUUAGGGCCAUGGUGUAUAUUCAUAACACAAAAUAAAUGCUCUCCACAUUUCUUCAAGAAUUUCAAAUGCCCAUCUAUCUUUUUGUUUGUUUGUUUCCCUAGAAAAUACUGAACCACAUUCAUUCCCACGGCUCCUUUAAUAUUUCUCACUAAUGAUCUUUUUAAAGAACAUGAUUGAGAGGUAAAUACUACCAAAGAGAAAGUUUGAAUUUUUGCACAACAUGAAAAGCUUUCCCCACAAGGGUUAUUUGGGAAAUUGCUGGCCCAAAUUCUUAUAUAUAAUUUGGUGCAAGUUUAUAUUUUUAUUUAAAGACAAUAAAGUGUUGCAAUUUUUUUUCCAUGGCAGUCAUUUAGUUUCAGCUAUUAACAAUUUUCCAAAUUAUUUAAAACGAUAAUCUAAGCACACUAGUCACAAUCCAACCGUGAGUUAAGCACAACUACACUUUUGGAAAUCACUGUGCUUGAGCAUACAUCCUAAUGCUAUUGUGAUCCUCCUCUUCUUUCAACCACCAAGACAGGCAUGACUUGAUUCGUAUAUAUUGACAGAACAUGUUUUUUCAGUCAUGGUUCUUAUAGUUUCCUCAAAGGGGGGCAUUGUAUUGUCUACAAUUGGAUCUCUGUAUUUUAUUAAAUCUCCUUGUUCCCUGUCCCUGGAAUUAUUAUAUUUAAAAUACGAAUACUAUAUAUUAUUGAGGCUAGUGGAGAAACAUAUGGACUCAAUUUCCCCUUCAAAUGUGUCCCAUAUUCUUCAAAUUAAAUUCAAUAUCCUACAUUUUCCCAUUUCUUCUGACCCAUAGUAUAUUGUUACAUGAUCCCUAUUGCCCUGAGCAACAAGAAGUUCCAGGGAUAACACUACUCAGGUUUGGUUUCCUUUGUAGGAGAGAACACUGGAGAUGUAUAGCAUCGUAAUAAUUGCUUGAUUUACAAAUAUGAAAGUAGAAUAUAUGGUAGAUAGAGGCAAGCAGCUCGCACUCAUCUGCUACCUCACAUAGGAUCUCCAAAGAGAUAUAUCUCUACACCUCAAGAUCCUAUCAGUUCUCAGCUCUUCUCCUCUAUUCCAGCUAUUGUUUCUUCACAUGUAUACACCUUAUAUCAGUCCAUCCCCUCAGCAUCCUCCGAUAGUUACACAGGAAGCUGCCAUUUUGAAGGAGAAUGGGAAUAAUUCCAGCACUUCCACUGAGUCAGAUAAUUAGUUCACCUUGCUCUGUAUUGUCUAUUCUUACUGCAUCAUUUCUUCAGGGUUUCAGGCAAGAGUCUUUUCCAGCCCUACCUGGAGAUAGCAGGGACUGAACCUAAGAACUAGGGAUGUGCUGAAACAUGAUUAAGCUUUCAGAAUCGCGGGCACCUCCCUUUAAAAUCGAGGGCUUACACAGCCCCUUUAAAGCGGGGGGGAGAGCAGGUCUGUACCUGAUCCUCCUCCGCUCGCUGCCAUUGCCACUAUCCUGGCACUCUCCCAGCUAUGCCCGCAUGCCGGCAGAGUGUCUCCCAGCUGCCCCACACACAUGGCCUCUGUGCAUGCGUGGUGGCCAUUUGUGUGGCCAGCAACAAUCUAUAUAUAUAAUUCUUUAAGACAUACCUGUGGCUGAUCCCGUGUGUGGCAGCUCUCACGAGGGUUCGCGAGCAGAAGCACCUGAUUGGGCAGUGGGGAUUCCAUAUGCAAAUAGAAAGGAGGAGUCUGUGAGAGCAGAAGCACCGUGGUGACUGGAUAGUGGGGAUUUCAUAUGCAGAUAGGGUCGAGAAGCCUGAAGCACCAUGGUGAUUGGGCAGUGGGGAUUUCAUAUGCAGAUAGGGAAGAGGAGCCUGUGAUGGUUAAGGUCAAUUGGAAUGCAACUGUUACUGGUCGGAAUAUAUUCUUGAUUGUAAAAGAGGAGAGAGAGAGAGAGAGAGAGAGAGAGAGAGAGAGAGAUAUGAAUGAUAGUGGGCAGGGUCUGCGAAGAGAGGGGUCGUGAGGGAGGAAAGAGCCCCUUCAGGAGGAGGCUGCUGCUGUCGAGUUAUACUGGCAGUGUGGAAGCCAGUGCAGCAUGGCUCCUUCUCUGGUCACCAAGAAACAGUAGGAGCCUCAGAGUUCUUCUUCCUGUGACAUCUGGAUGUGAGAAACCUCUGGCCUCUUCCUGGGCCAUGGAGUCUCUGUUUUUGCUCUGUUACUGCCGCCUCCUCCUCCGGCUGCUUAUUCUACUUUUGUUCUCCCAGUCAUUCACACACAGAAGGCAUCUCAGAGGCAAGUGAGCAGUGCAGUAUGCCAGGCUGGUGCCAAGUCAACUGUCAACACAGAUCCAUUGCCCAACAUGUGGGUGGCCCUGUACAGCCUGUAGAUGUUCUCACAAAGAGGUGGGAAUUGGAAGCAAUCUACAAGUAUCUGGAAUUCCCCAGUGGGUGCAAAUAUUAAGGGAGCCACAAUCAGGGCACAGUCUGUAUGUUGUUCAAACCUGCUUUUUAGCUCUUUUAUUGACUUCAGAAAACCAAACAGAAUGUAACGUACUAGCUCAACUAAUUGUUUUCUCUAUGGUGUUGUAUGCCUUGGCAGAAGUCAAGGACCAUAUACGUCAGAAGAAUGUUCCUACAAUGCAUCUGAAAGUCUCGUGGUUUUGUUUGUUUGGUAGGGAUUGUGUGCAAAGAUGCUCAGUUAGUUUUGAAGGUGGAUUUAUAUUAUCUAAUGCUUUUGUGAAGGACAUGAUUAUUAAAGGACAUUUUGUGUGUUAUAGGAGUUGCACAGUCUUUCCUUUCAAGAUAGUUAUGGCCUGAUGAUGUAAUCAUUGUUUCUGACUUCUAAACAAUAUUUGUUUUGAAAUAAAAAUAAUUUUGCAGUG